rnacentral:lncRNA from 1 species
UCCCCCGGCUUUGUCAAUGGAGCCAGCCUGUCUGUGCCGGACAAGGUUCUCAACAGAGCAACUAAAGGAACAAGCCAGUGUGGACACCCUGCUCUUCUGAGUGUCUGCUCCUAGGGGGCUGGGCAGCAACAUAGAGCUCUCAGAAGAGUGUGAGGGAAUCCAUGCUAUGAGGACACUGCCAUCCAGACAAGUGUGAGGCCAGCCUGGGGUACAUGAGACUGUCUUUAAAAGGCUCAAGUUAAGGGCCUUAGAAAACUAGUUGAUCGAGAAGAAAUGUUUGCAGAAAAUAGGCAGAGGGAAAUACAGGAAAACAAGGAAGAAGCAUAAACCAUCGCGAGGGCGUCAGACGCAGAAGAAACUAGACGGACGUCUUAUUUAAAAGAGGCCUCAAGACACUAGAAGAUUCUGCGUCUCUAUCGGGACCUGGCCAGAACGCCACAGGGAGAUGGAGCAAUGGCGGAGAUGCCUGGGCCCUGGAUGAACUCAAGUACUAGCGCCAAACCACCAGGCUGGGAGACUUCCGAAGAGGGAAGUGCAGUCAACGCACGCCAGCAGGUGCCCUGCAGAGAAGCGAGCCCUUGCCUCAGAGCUCCGCACAGCUCACAGACUUUUAGGCUACAUGAAUCAGUGCUGUUUUAGGUCACUAGGUUCUGGGUGCUUUGUUACACAGCAGUGCUGGCAGUGAGGCACACGAGAGGAGAAACUGAUGUGUGCACAGAUGCAAGGAGGUGGUCAACAUGGCAGAGGGUAGCCACAGUGUGACAGCUGCUUGUCACACAGAAGCCAACGCUAACACAACGAUGGCUCUACGGAGCAGAAAGAGCAUGAAUCUCGGGGAGAAGCUUAGCCCAGUAAACCAAGGACAAUGCAGGGAGCUGCAGAGAAAAGCCCUGGAAGAGCCUUGGCCUCCGUGUCCAGCUCUCUUUAUAAGUGAGUGUUGGGACAGAACCUCACACCAGAAUGACUGGGCUAUCUCCUUAGCACUCACUCAAGAGGGAGAGAGUUGGGUUUUGUUGUUGUUUUGACUACACAUUAAGUCAGAGUUCAGUUCCCGGCACCCCCCCAUGGAGGGGAGAUCAGAAAUGCCUGUAAGUCCAGGGAAUCUGAUGCCAUCUUCCAGCCUCUGCAGGCAUGCUUGCACUCUCUCUCUCAUGCGCGCGCACACACACACAUGCACAAGUGAAUAUUAAAAAUUAAUACCUAGGCAUGGUAACACACGCCUUGAAUCCCAGCACUCAGUACGCAGAAAUAGGAGGAUCUCUAACUUUGAGGCCAGCCUGGUCUAUAUAGUAAGUUCCAGAACAGCCAAAGCUACACAGUAAGACUCUGUCCCCCAAAAACAAAGCUAAAAAAUAAAUAAAUAAAUAAGUAGAGAAGACCAUCAAAAAUUACAAAAGCGUAAGUAGAAACGGCUGGACUCAUGAUCAUGUGUAAUAUACACUCAUCGCUUCUACAGGCACAAGGCAUGUACAUAUUGUACAGACCUGUGUGCAGGCAAAAUAUUCAUACACAUACAAAGAUAAAAUACAGCAAUAAAUAUUUUUAAUAGGUAACGAUUUUAAAUGGCUGAGAGCCGAGCAGGUACAUCACUGGAGAAGGUGCCAGAGUGGCUCGUCACUGCUGAAAGGGGCUGUACUAACACCAAAUAAACACACCGUAAGAUUAUAAUGAUGCUCCACUAGACACUCAAGGGGCUGACUCGGGUCUUUGCACUGACAAUAAAAAGUCUCAGAGUAUCCAGC